rnacentral:rRNA from 1 species
CGGGCUCUUCGGAGCUAGUGGCGGACGGGUGAGUAACGCGUGAGGAUCUGCCCUUAGGACGGGGACAACAGUUGGAAACGACUGCUAAUACCCAAUGUGCCGAGAGGUGAAAGGUUAACUGCCUGGGGAUGAGCUCGCGUCUGAUUAGCUAGUUGGAGUGGUAACGGCACACCAAGGCGACGAUCAGUAGCUGGUCUGAGAGGAUGAUCAGCCACACUGGGACUGAGACACGGCCCAGACUCCUACGGGAGGCAGCAGUGGGGAAUUUUCCGCAAUGGGCGAAAGCCUGACGGAGCAAGACCGCGUGAGGGAGGAAGGCCUAUUGGUUGUAAACCUCUUUUGAUAGGGAAGAACACAAUGACGGUACCUAUCGAAUCAGCAUCGGCUAACUCCGUGCCAGCAGCCGCGGUAAUACGGAGGAUGCAAGCGUUAUCCGGAUUUAUUGGGCGUAAAGCGUCCGUAGGUGGCAAACCAAGUCAGUUGUUAAAGCGUAGAGCUUAACUCUAUAAGGGCAAUUGAAACUGGUUAGCUAGAGUGCGAUAGGGGCAAGGGGAAUUCCCAGUGUAGCGGUGAAAUGCGUAGAUGUUGGGAAGAACAUCGGUGGCGAAGGCGCCUUGCUGGGUCUGCACUGACACUGAGGGACGAAAGCUAGGGGAGCGAAAGGGAUUAGAUACCCCUGUAGUCCUAGCCGUAAACGAUGGAUACUAGGCGUUGUCCGUAUCGACCCGAGCCGUGCCGAAGC